UACAGAGGUCUCAAGCGUUGUUCGGAUUCAUUGGGCGUAAAGGGUGCGUAGGCGGGUUGGUAAGUCCGCUGUGAAAGCCCGGAGCUCAACUCCGGAGGGUCGGUGGAUACUGCCAGUCUUGAAGGUGCUAGGGGGAGAUGGAAUUACCGGUGUAGCGGUGAAAUGCGUAGAUAUCGGUAGGAACACCAGUGGCGAAGGCGGUCUCCUGGGGCAUUCUUGACGCUGAGGCGCGAAAGCUGGGGGAGCGAACGGG
rnacentral:rRNA from 1 species